AUAAUACAAUUAAAAGAAAAAUAAAGAAAAAGAAGAAAGGAAGAAGAAUCGAAGAAAACAAAAGUGAACUGUGCUCUCUCCUUUAGCUCUCUUCCUGCGACGCUUAGCCAAGAAUGGCAACUUCAUCGUCCGUUCACCAAACGAGAUGUCGUUACCACCAAAAUAAAGCUUGGACUUCCAGGAGCAAAACCCAACGAGUCUCAGCAAGUUUCGUCGACUGUAGCCACUAGAAUCGAGUUUGGAAACUCACGGCAACCACAAGAAUAGCGUUGGAGCAUCUUGGCAAUUUCGUCUUAAAUAUGCGUAUACGUAUGGUAUACAUGGAGGUGAUCGAGGAGUUGGACUUGAGGCUGUAGACGGUUAAUUAUUUUGUGUACCGCUAUCGAGGUGAGUUGGAUGUAGGUGAUGGCGGUCAGCAGCGGGAUGCGUGAGCUGGUGUGUAGCAUUG